rnacentral:rRNA from 1 species
CGGGCUUGAAUUGCACAGGACAGGGGCAGAGAUGCCUUUUUCUUCGGACCUGUGUGAAGGUGCUGCAUGGUUGUCGUCAGCUCGUGCCGUGAGGUGUCGGCUUAAGUGCCAUAACGAGCGCAACCCUAAUUUUCAGUUACUAACAGGUUAAGCUGAGGACUCUGGAAAGACUGCCGUCGUAAGAUGUGAGGAAGGUUGGGAUGACGUCAAAUCAGCACGGCCCUUACGUCCGGGGCUACACACGUGUUACAAUGGGAGGUACAGCAGGCAGCCACCUGGCGACAGGGCGCUAAUCCCGAAAGCCUCUCUCAGUUCGGAUUGGAGUCUGCAACCCGACUCCAUGAAGCUGGAUUCGCUAGUAAUCGCGCAUCAGCCACGGCGCGGUGAAUACGUUCCCGGGCC